rnacentral:rRNA from 1 species
GACGAACGCUGGCGGCGUGCUUAACACAUGCAAGUCGAACGAGUGGCGGACGGGUGAGUAACACGUGGGAACCUACCCAUCAGAGGGGGAUAACACUUGGAAACAGGUGCUAAUACCGCAUACUAUCGGAUGACCCCCUAUGGGAUUAGCUAGUGGGUGAGGUAAUGGCUCACCAAGGCGACGAUCCCUAGCUGGUCUGAGAGGAUGAUCAGCCACACUGGGACUGAGACACGGCCCAGACUCCUACGGGAGGCAGCAGUGGGGAAUAUUGCACAAUGGGCGCAAGCCUGAUGCAGCCAUGCCGCGUGUAUGAAGAAGGCCUUAGGGUUGUAAAGUACUUUCAGCGGGGAGGCGUUACCCGAAGAAGAAGCACCGGCUAACUCCGUGCCAGCAGCCGCGGUAAUAC